ACAUCCAGAGAACUUAGCAGAGAUGCUUUGGUGCCUUCGGGAACUCCGAGACAGGUGCUGCAUGGCUGUCGUCAGCUCGUGUUGUGAAAUGUUGGGUUAAGUCCCGCAACGAGCGCAACCCUUAUCCUUUGUUGCCAGCGGUCCGGCCGGGAACUCAAAGGAGACUGCCAGUGAUAAACUGGAGGAAGGUGGGGAUGACGUCAAGUCAUCAUGGCCCUUACGAGUAGGGCUACACACGUGCUACAAUGGCGCAUACAAAGAGAAGCGACCUCGCGAGAGCAAGCGGACCUCAUAAAGUGCGUCGUAGUCCGGAUUGGAGUCUGCAAUUCGACUCCAUGAAGUCGGAAUCGCUAGUAAUCGUAGAUCAGAAUGCUACGGUGAAUACGUUCCCGGGCCUUGUACACACCGCCCGUCACACCAUGGGAGUGGGUUGCAAAAGAAGUAGGUAGCUUAACCUUCGGGAGGGCGCUUACCACUUUGUGAUUCAUGACUGGGGUGAAGUCGUAACAAGGUAGGCGUAGACGU
rnacentral:rRNA from 1 species